rnacentral:rRNA from 1 species
CCUACAGAAGAAGACACCGGCUAACUCCGUGCCAGCAGCCGCGGUAAUACGGAGGGUGCGAGCGUUAAUCGGAAUUACUGGGCGUAAAGACGCAUGCAGGCGGCCUGUUAAGUCAGAUGUGAAAGCCCGGGGCGUUAACCUCGGAAUUGCAUUUGAAACUGGCAGGCUAGAGUCUUGUAGAGGGGGGUAGGAAGUUUCAGGUGUAGCGGUGAAAUAGCGUAGAGAUCUGAAGGAAUACCAGUGGCGAAGGCGGCCCCCUGGACAAAGACUGACGCUCAGAUGCGAAAGCGUGGGGAGCAAACAGGAUUAGAUACCCCUGGUAG